AUAAUCUGAAAAUUAUCUGAGUUUAUUUGUGUGUGCAAGUGGCUAUUUUACCCUUGAAGUGCUUAUGUGGGUGUUUUAUGGCCUUAAGGGCAAUUGAGUAAUUUUGCCAUUUUGGAGUAAGAUUCAUAAAAGGGAGUUUAAGCAAAAUAAAGAUUUAUUUUUCUGCAUUUUUUCCCAGCCCUUUGGCUGAACCCCCUUUCCUCUCAAAACUCAUUCUAACUCUUGAUUUCGGGUUGUGCUUGCUUGGAUUCAAACUUGGGGUUUGUGGCUUUUGUGAUUGAGAUUGAAAAGAGUUAUUUUCGCAUAAGAAAAAGGAAAAUUUCUGGGCUUUUUCCUCUGCCCUAGCUGAACUCCCUCUCCCUCUUUUCUUCAUAUUUUUAUUUUGCUAAGUGUUGGAAAAUUCAUCUUGAAAGCUUGGAUUCUUGGUGGGUUUUGUGCUUAGCUUUGUUUGGAGCUUGAGGAAAGGGUAAAUCGGUUUCUAAUCAGCCAUGAGUGUAGGAGUGGGACGAUAAAUGUACAUGUUCAGGCCACACUAGACCAAGCGGGUUGGGGUCUACCAGUGUUGGAACUUUUGUAACUUUGUUUUGCUGCUUAGGUCGGCUAAGGGAAAAGACUUGUAAUAUUUUGUAAAACAAUUUUCGGGAUUCCAAAACAUGUAACUUUUGUUUGUUAGGUUAAAAUUAUUACAAGUUUAUUUUU